CAAUCAACUGUUUUAGUUAAUCAGUGCUGAGUAAGAAUGAAAACCUAUACAUCCUGUAUGUAUCUCUAAGGAUUUGAGUAAUGGCAUCAUUCUGCAGCCUCUCAGGCUUGUAUUUGCUUCCAUCUAGUGGAUGAGACACAGAACACAAUAUUUAUAGUAUUUGCCUUCGUCAAUUUACCAGAUUCAUUAGGCUAAUCUUAUUUAUAAUUAAACACUUUCAAAUGAUUAGUUUCUUUGAAUUCUAUUUAGAAAGCAAAAGGGGUUAUACACAGAAUCAUUUAAUCCUAUUAAACAUUAGGAUUCUUGUAAUUUUGUAGUCUUGAUGGGUGGAUAUUUGUAUCUGGAAUCACCUUAAUAAAUCCAUUUUACUUGUGUGUAUAUUGUUGGUAUAAUUACAGUCAUUUCGUCCCAUGCAGUAUAUAGUUAAUUGUGUAGUGCACUGUGCACUGAACAGGCACUGACUAAGUUAAUUGGUUAGCCCCAGCAUCCAACUGAGCUGAAUUGUCUGUAAGUGUUUUAAGAUGUGGAAGAGUGGUGAUACCAGAACGGACCAGGGUUGAGUAUUUUUAAUACUCCUACCCAUCUCUCCAGACCCAGUGCCUACCCUUGAACCCUCAACACAGAAACUCUAAGCAUGAGUGCACUUUCAAUUGUGCAUCUCUAGAUAAUUUGUUCCAAUUGCACUUAGGCACUUGGGAUUAUACAUAUAAUGACAUCAUCACCUACGAUGAUAAUCAUCUACCCAUGAUUACGGAGAAUAGGGAGAGAGUUUCCACAAGAUUCCAUAUGACAGUGCUUUUAAAUCUGCGAAGAGUGGAUGAUGAGAGGAGAGGUCAGCUGAGGGCACUGGGUAGAGAACUGCAGCCUAGUGUGAUCACUAGAAGCUGGACUGAAAAACUUAAAAAAUAUAAGAAGCGUCAUAGAAGCAAGGUUUCAUACUUUAUAAACCUGAUAUUUCCUCUCUAGUUCAGGAAAGGCUUAGAACAGGCUCAAUGAGGUCACCUCCUGUGGACAGCGAUGUGCCUAGUGUCAUCUGGAUCCACACAGUCUUUCCCAGCCUGACCGCUCCUGUUCUGAGGGUCUCCCAACCUUAUCCAGCCCUUCCUCCAGACUCAUUAACAAAACAGUUUACUCAGUGGAGCUGAUUGUGGGCUUGAUUGCCUGAUGAUGUGCACCUGUGUCCACCUGACAGCCAAGUGGAUAAAGUCUGAAGCCACUUCAGUUUGAAACAGCUUUUAGAAACUCCUAUUGAGACUUGUUUCCUUGUGUUUUUACCAUUUGCAGCUACCAUGUUUUGUUUUCAGUUUACGGAAACCCCAGAAAAUCCAACAAAUGCAUUAUAAAUCAAAAAACAUUUAUCAGGUUUAUUGUACCCAAUAAAGAUGUAGCUUUAUGGAAAGUUCUAUCUCAUAUGUCAUAUGAGUA